CGCAUCUGUGCAUGCAGCAUAUCAAUAAGCGGAGGAAAAGGAACUAACAAGGAUUCCCCUAGUAACGGCGAGUGAAGCGGGAAGAGCUCAAAUUUGAAAUCUUAAAGGGUUUCCCUUUACGAAUUGUAGUUUAAAGAAGUGUUUUCUGUUGAGGUUUUGGUAAAAGUUCUUUGGAAUAGGACAUCAUAGAGGGUGAGAAUCCCGUAUUUGACCUUUACUUUCAACUUUGUGAUACACUUUCAAAGAGUCGGAUUGUUUGGGAAUGCAGUCCAAAAUGGGUGGUAAAUUUCAUCUAAAGCUAAAUAUUGGCGAGAGACCGAUAGCGAACAAGUACCGUGAGGGAAAGAUGAAAAGAACUUUGAAAAGAGAGUUAAACAGUACGUGAAAUUGUCAAAAGGGAAGCGUUUGACACCAGUGUUGUUUUUCUGAAAAUCAAUUAAAGAACUGUUUAUGCUAAGUUGUUUAGACUUUAUCAGCUAACUGUUUAGUUUUGAGCUUUUCUUUAAUGCACUUUUCAGUUAACAAGUCAACAUCAAUUUCUUUUGCUGUAAAAAAGCUUGAGGAAGGUGGCUUGAGAUUCGUCUUAAGUGUUUAUAGCCUCUUGCCUAUGCAGUCGGAGAGAUUGAGGUCUGCAGCGUAGAUCCUUCGGGGCUAAAUGCAUUUGUGCUAAGUUAUAAGCAUUUUAUAGACAACUUGUUGACUAUGAUUUGUCUUGUAGCUUACUCGCUUAUGUUAUUUUACCUACGCUUAGGAUGUUGAUAGUCACAGCGUGUAC
rnacentral:rRNA from 1 species